GAUGAACGCUAGCUACAGGCUUAACACAUGCAAGUCGGGGGGAAACGGCAUUGAGUGCUUGCACUCUUUGGACGUCGACCGGCGCACGGGUGAGUAACGCGUAUCCAACCUUCCCAUUACUGUGGGAUAACCUGCCGAAAGGCAGACUAAUACCGCAUAGUCUUCGAUGACGGCAUCAGAUUUGAAGUAAAGAUUUAUCGGUAAUGGAUGGGGAUGCGUCUGAUUAGCUUGUUGGCGGGGUAACGGCCCACCAAGGCUACGAUCAGUAGGGGUUCUGAGAGGAAGGUCCCCCACAUUGGAACUGAGACACGGUCCAAACUCCUACGGGAGGCAGCAGUGAGGAAUAUUGAUCAAUGGACGGAAGUCUGAACCAGCCAAGUAGCGUGCAGGAUGACGGCCCUAUGGGUUGUAAACUGCUUUUGUAUGGGGAUAAAGUUAGGGACGUGUCCCUAUUUGCAGGUACCAUACGAAUAAGGACCGGCUAAUUCCGUG
rnacentral:rRNA from 1 species